rnacentral:rRNA from 1 species
CCUACGGGUGGCAGCAGUGAGGAAUAUUGGUCAAUGGACGAGAGUCUGAACCAGCCAAGUAGCGUGAAGGAUGACUGCCCUAUGGGUUGUAAACUUCUUUUAUAUGGGAAUAAAAUGUUCCACGUGUGGGAUUUUGUAUGUACCAUAUGAAUAAGGAUCGGCUAACUCCGUGCCAGCAGCCGCGGUAAUACGGAGGAUCCGAGCGUUAUCCGGAUUUAUUGGGUUUAAAGGGAGCGUAGGUGGAUUGGUAAGUCAGUUGUGAAAGUUUGCGGCUCAACCGUAAAAUUGCAGUUGAAACUGGCAGUCUUGAGUACAGUAGAGGUGGGCGGAAUUCGUGGUGUAGCGGUGAAAUGCUUAGAGAUCACGAAGAACUCCGAUUGCGAAGGCAGUUCACUGGACUGCAACUGACACUGAGGCUCGAAAGUGUGGGUAUCAAACAGGAUUAGAUACCCGGGUAGUC